rnacentral:rRNA from 1 species
AUUGAACGCUGGCGGCAGGCCUAACACAUGCAAGUCGAGCGAGCGGCGGACGGGUGCGUAAUGUCUGGGAAACUGUCUGUUGGAGGGGGAUAACUACUGGAAACGGUAGCUAAUACCGCACACCAUCCGAUGUGCCCAGAUGGGAUUAGCUAGUGGGUGGGGUAACGGCUCACCUAGGCGACGAUCCCUUGCUGGUCUGAGAGGAUGACCCGCCACACUGGAACUGAGACACGGUCCAGACUCCUACGGGAGGCAGCAGUGGGGAAUAUUGCACAAUGGGCGAAAGCCUGAUGCAGCCAUGCCGCGUGAGUGAAGAAGGCCUUCGGGUUGUAAAGCACUUUCAGCGGGGAGGCGUUACCCGCAGAAGAAGCACCGGCUAACUCCGUGCCAGCAGCCGCGGUAAUAC